GCCGAAAUAGCUCAAAUGGGAGAGCAUUAGACUGAAAAUCUAAAGGUUUCUGGUUCGAAUCCAGAUUACGGCA